GUUAUUUAAAACUAUAAUAUAACCAUCAGAAUUUGUCACAGAGAACCGCUGUUGAAGAAAUUAGAAGGUCGUUAAAAACCAAUUUAAACAAAAGGCGCCGUUACAAUUUCUCACUAAACUUAGCAUAUAAUUUAAAAAAAUGGUCUGUUUAAAACCCCAACUAAUCAAAGGUUACCUAAAAAAUUAGCAUAUUUUUUAAACAAUUUGUUACAAACCGUCGAAAGAGCAUCAGCGCAGGACGUAAUUGGUUUACCUACAGUAAACUCUUUUAAAAGUAUUUUUCUGACACAACUUUGACUGCAGGAAUGUCAAUCGUCAGCAUAUAAAAGACCGAGGAUCUUACUUAACAGACACCAGACAAUCAGCUCAGAUUGCUGCUAUAAAAUUAAUUGUAAAACGAUCACAGGAAAUUGUUGCAUCCUAAAGCCAUUGUUUUAGCUUCAACCAAAAUAUUUCCCCAUGAUGAACAGAUGACUGGUCUUGGCAAUAAAAGAGUAUUUUUUGUAAAUUUUGUAAAGCGAAUAAUUUUAGCAAAAUUGCAAUGAACCUGAA